rnacentral:lncRNA from 1 species
CUGUAGGUGACAAGCUGAUGGGACUAUGGGCUAUAGGUGACAAGCUGAUGGGACUAUGGGCUAUAGGUGACAAGCUGAUGGGACUAUGGACUAUAGGUGACAAGCUGAUGGGACUAUGGGCUAUAGGUGACAAGCUGAUGGGACUAUGGGCUAUAAGUGACAAGCUGAUGGGACUAUGGGCUAUAGGUGACAAGCUGAUGGGACUAUGGGCUAUAGGUGACAAGCUGAUGGGACUAUGGGCUAUAAGUGACAAGCUGAUGGGACUAUGGGCUAUAGGUGACAAGCUGAUGGGACUAUGGACUAUAGGUGACAAGCUGAUGGGACUAUGGGCUAUAGGUGACAAGCUGAUGGGACUAUG